UUGGUAGUGUAUUGGACAACCAUGGCUUUUACGGGUAACGGAGGAUUAGGGUUCGAUUCCGGAGAGGGAGCCUGAGAAACGGCUACCACAUCUAAGGAAGGCAGCAGGCGCGUAAAUUACCCAAUACUGACUCAGUGAGGUAGUGACAAGAAAUAACGGGCCGGGGAUUUCCCCGGGACUGAAAUGAGUUUAAUUUAAACCCCUUUUCGAGGAUCCAUUGGAGGGCAAGUCUGGUGCCAGCACCCGCGGUAAUUCCAGCUCCACUAGCGUAUAUUAAAGUUGUUGCAGUUAAAAAGCUCGUAGUUGAAUUUCUGUUUAGGGAUACGCCUUGAUUUUCGUCGGGCUAUUUCUAAGCAUCCGCCUGCAAGACCCAGCUGGCCUUUACUGGUUACUGGGAGUAGUAGGCUUUUUACUUUGAAAAAAUUAGAGUGUUUAAGGCAGGCAAUCGUCUGAAUAUAUUAGCAUGGAAUAAUAGAAUAGGACACUUUUCCAUUUUGUUGGUUAUUGGAAUCGUGUAAUGAUUAAUAGGGACAGUUGUGGGCAUUUGUAUUUAAUUGUCAGAGGUGAAAUUCUUGGAUUUAUUAAAGACAAACUAACGCGAAAGCAUUUGCCAAGGAUGUUUUCA
rnacentral:rRNA from 1 species